UACGGAGGGUGCAAGCGUUGUUCGGAUUUACUGGGCGUAAAGCGUGCGCAGGCGGUGAGCUGUGUCCGAUGUGAAAGCCCCGGGCUUAACCUGGGAAUGGCAUUGGAAACUGGCUCGCUGGAGUGUGGCAGAGGGGGGUGGAAUUCCGCGUGUAGCAGUGAAAUGCGUAGAGAUGCGGAGGAACACCGAUGGCGAAGGCAGCCCCCUGGGCUAACACUGACGCUCAGGCACGAAAGCGUGGGGAGCAAACAGG
rnacentral:rRNA from 1 species